rnacentral:rRNA from 1 species
CUCGGAAGGAUCAUUAACAUAUCCACAAAAACCUUAACCAUGCUUGCUACGAGAGUGUCCGGCUUAGGCUGGGUCUCUCGCUACAAACCUUUUCAAAAGUAACCUAACUAAGCUAUCUCACUACUAAAUUUUCAACAGUGGAUAUCUUGGUUCCUGGAACGAUGAAGAACGCAGCGAAGUGCGAUAAGCAAUGCGAAUUGCAGAACCGUGAGUCAUUAGAUUUUUGAACGUAACUGGCUCCUGCUGUUUCUGCAGCAGGAAUACUUGUUUCAGUGUCUUUUUUCAAAUGACCAAUACUUUAAUGCAGGAGAUACCCUUCUCCUGGGAAGUAUGCAAGCACCUGUGUCUGCUGUGGGCUUACCCACAACUCAAUGCAGCCGUCACACUUGUUGUGAACUCAUUGGGGCAGAAGCAGAGAGGAAACUCUGUGCUUGGAACGAAAAACUUAUUCUGUAUCUGAAAUCAAGUAGGACCACCCGCUGAACUUAA